rnacentral:rRNA from 1 species
UAAGGAAUAUUGCGCAAUGGGGGAAACCCUGACGCAGCAACGCCGCGUGGAGGAUGACACUUUUCGGAGCGUAAACUCCUUUUAUCAGGAAAGAAUAAUGACGGUACCUGAUGAAUAAGCACCGGCUAACUCCGUGCCAGCAGCCGCGGUAAUACGGGGGGUGCAAGCGUUACUCGGAAUCACUGGGCGUAAAGGACGCGUAGGCGGAUUAUCAAGUCUUUUGUGAAAUCUAGUGGCUUAACCACUAAACUGCUUAGGAAACUGAUAGGAUAGAGUAGGGGAGAGGUAGAUGGAAUUCUUGGUGUAGGGGUAAAAUCCGUAGAGAUCAAGAAGAAUACCCAUUGCGAAAGCGAUCUGCUGGAACCUAACUGACGCUGAGGCGUGAAAGCGUGGGUAGCAAACAGG